UUUUUUUAACGUGAAUCAUUGAAAAACGUUUACAUGAUCUUUGAAAUGCAAAUCAUCUAUACAAACGGGAGGAUAUUGUUAGUACUCUCUAUGGGUACAUCAAUUUAUGUGCUUGUUAACUAGGGAUGUCAAAUGGACCUGGUAACCAUGGGGUAGACUAAUCCAAAUUAUAAUAGUAUUGUUUUUUGGUUACGUCCAAAACCAAAAUGGUCAAUAUGGGCUAUAAACCAAUUGGGCCCGCCAGUAUAUGGAACAAACUCAUCUGAACAUGGACUGUUCAAUAAUCCUUAAGAAUUAAGGUUAUGAAUUUGGGGGGAAAAAUUAGAUUUAAAGCUAAAAGUUUUCAUUUCUCAUUUCUCAUUUUUCUCUCGAUUUGAGACGAUCUGAGACACAAAUCUCAUCCUCUCGACUCUUGAGCGUCGAUGGAUCUUGGUGGUGGCUGGUGGGUUCCUUCUCGAGUCUUUUAUCCUUCGGAUAACACAGAUUUUGAUUCUUCUCGAGGUUUGGAAAAUUGAAAGUUGGCUAAGAGCUCAUAAGACAUCUGAUGAUGUGACUAUCUAUGACAUGGUGUAUGUUAUGAUAGUAAAAUUCGACAAGUAUUAGGAAGACUUAUUUUGAUAUUCUUACUAUAGCUGCAGUCUUGGAUCCCAGAUUGAAGUUUGCAUUCUUAGGAUACUGCUAUGACACUUUAGAUCAAUCAAAUAGUAAGUCUAAGUUGGAUCACAUCCGUAAGAAGAUGCAGAAGAGUUUGGGAAGUAGGGUUCUUAAAGUACUCGAAAGACAAUGCUACACUUUUUAAGGAGUUGUCCCGUAUGGCAUGUGAUGUGCUAUGUAUUCCCACAAUAAUAGUGUCUUUUGAGUCAUCAUUUAGUGUGGGAAGUAGGGUUCUUAACAAGUACAUGAGCUGUCUUCUUCCAUCAAAUGUUCAAGCUCUGAUUUGUGCAAGAAAUUGGCUACGUGAAUCCGAGUUUUUGGAGGGAGAUAAAGAAUAAGCAGGAGAAGAAGAGGAGGAAGGAGAAGGUGGAAGAAAGAAGAUCCGAGUUACUUAGAAGGUGAAGGUUUGCUUUAAACCAUUGUGAUUCUGUCUUUAUUUGAGAUUCUGGGAAGAAAUGUGUAUCAUUGCAUUAUGAUUCUGUGAAUGUGUAUUGGUGUCUUUGUUUAUAUUUGAGAUUCUGGAAAAUGAUACUCAUUGAGAUUCUAAAUGUGUAUUGGUUAUGUUUUCGUUUUGUUAGGUAUUUGAAGAAUUAUUCAAUGAAUUAUUCAAUUAGACUAAAAGAUUCAUGAAGUUAUGAAGUAUUGACUUAUAAUACUUGUUUAGUAUGAUUUUGGAUUGUGUGAAACACUUAAGAGUUGUUUAGUAUGUAAAACACUUAUAGGUUGUUUAGUAUGGAGUUUUUUUUGUGUAAUUGAAUAAAUGUGUUCACGUAUUAUUUGAACCCCAUGGG